rnacentral:rRNA from 1 species
UACGUAGGGGGCAAGCGUUGUCCGGAAUCAUUGGGCGUAAAGCGCGUGUAGGCGGCUUGGUAAGUCCGCUCUGAAAGCCCGGGGCUCAACCCCGGGAGGCGGGUGGAUACUGUCAAGCUCGAGUCCGGAAGAGGCGAGUGGAAUUCCUGGUGUAGCGGUGAAAUGCGCAGAUAUCAGGGGGAACACCAAUGGCGAAGGCAGCUCGCUGGGACGUGACUGACGCUGAGACGCGAAAGCGUGGGGAGCAAACAGG